AUAAAUGUGUCUGAUGUUUUUCCCACGAGAAACGAUCUUCUGUCUGUAUAUCAGAAACAGUUAAUUUCUUGAAGCUUCUACAUAAUUCAUGUCGAAAUUGAGUAAUUGGUGCAACACGAGCAACAUAAUUCGUUAAAUAAUUACAUUGUUAUAGCAGACAAGAGGCAGGAGCGAAACAGCUUGCCAGACAAUUAUAUGUAAGUAGUACGGUAUGCAGAAGAAAACAACUAAACGGAGGUUGUAGAAAAGAUAGUACACCUCUUCGCUACACGCCAUUGACUAUUAAUAGCUGACGAAGUCCGAGAGAGAACCACAGUAUCCGAGGCCAGAUUCAACCGAAGGAAUUCUUUAGCUGUUCGACCCUUUCGACCGUCAUUCUUCGAUGAUUCAAUGUCGAGGGUACACUACGAAAUGGUACCAUUUCUUGACCUUUCUAUGUGCCAAUUUCCUUCAACUGUAAAGAAACAGAAAACAAAGGGUAUUUUUCUUUUUAGUAUUAUUACCGAUGGAUUAAAAAGUUGUAGUGUCUUUACAAGGUGAAAAUGGAAAGUGACGAUAAAAAGUGAAUUAACUUUAAGGACGACCGUAUCGACAACGUCAAUUCACGACGUAACCUAAACAAAAAGAUAAAUUUCGAAAUCUUCUUAACCAUAUUUACACUUUUUAAAAAGUUUUUAUAAAGUCGUAAAUCUAAUGAAGAGAUUGAAGGAGCCAGACACAGAUCUCGAUUUGAAACAUUUAAACAACGAUAUAUCAAUUUUUAGGAAAAUCUUAUGACGAGAAGGAGCGACUGUUCCAUUAUGUUAAUAAAUCUUCGUUACUCGAAAAAGAAACAAAAAGAAAGCUGUUCUUCGUUCCGAACGCUCGUUAAAUUACGAGCAAUUUAUUAGAGUGGAAAGUAGGUGUUGAUAACACGGCUGGGAUGGUAAAAGAACGAUUGAAUGAGGAGGUUGACUGGUGUCGUCGUACGACGACUUCGCAUCGCUACUACUGACUUGAGUGCAAAUGGGGCCUGAGGUUAACGCGCCGUGAUGUCACUGUCUGAUAUCGUAGUGCCCAUCUUUUACUUUGGCAACAGGACAAAAAGAAUUCAGCAAAACUGUUGAGUGUCCGUUCGGAUUGUUUCUUCAAUUUCAGCAAUUUAGUGAAUACAAUCAUAUAAAACCUUAAACUUUUUACAUUAUUUUUUUAAUGAAACGACGCAAUAAUUGUAGUAGUAUUGUUUCAC